GACAGAGGGUGCGAACGUUGUUCGGAAUUACUGGGCGUAAAGCGCAUGUAGGCGGCAAUGCAAGUCGGGCGUGAAAUCCCACGGCUCAACCGUGGAAGUGCACUCGAAACUGCAUAGCUAGAGUCCUGGAGAGGAAGGUGGAAUGCUUGGUGUAGAGGUGAAAUUCGUAGAUAUCAAGCGGAACACCGAUGGCGAAGGCAGCCCCCUGGGCCAGCACUGACGCUGAUACACGAAAGCGUGGGGAGCAAACAGG
rnacentral:rRNA from 1 species